AGCCAAGAGCGGCAGAGCGCCGGCAGGGUAACCCCGCCAGGUCCGAAAGGAAGCAACGGUAACUUGACCGUCGUUGUUGCCGCUCUUGGUUUUU
rnacentral:SRP_RNA from 1 species